CCUGAUCUAAUGAAGUUUUGCAUCUCCUGUUCUAGUAUCUUGUUCUGCACCACCUACCUUGCCUGGAGUUGUCACACGUCUCGUCACUCAAGGAUCCUCUGGCCUCCUUUCACCACACCUGCCCGCCUGCCCACGCUCAGAACCAUCUCACCAGUUCCAACCUCUUCCAAUUCCGGUACCAUCCUGUUGCUCAGAAGAGAAAAGAAAAACAUUUAUCUGAUGGAGCUAAAAAAUAGAAGGUCCAACCACAAUAGGAGUCAAACGAGUCAACAUCUGGAGUUUUCUGAAUCACCAGAGCUCUGAGACCAAAAAGGAUUCAGAUUAAAUGCAGACCAAAUGAAGUUUUGGGCUUCAGCCAAGAUAAAAAUUAGCUUCUUGUAAAAACAUGACAACAGUGUUUUUGGUGAGGUCAUCAGACCUUAGGGAGCAAACCCAAACCCAGCCACUGCCUUUUUAGUGAAACAUUUUCAAAAGCUCCUUCAAAUUUCUUCUAAAAAUAAAAGUCCUCAGUCAUUUUUGUUUUGGUGUAGCUAAAAAUAUGUUCUAAACAAUCUGCCGCAACACAGUUUACUGUUGUUACUAUGUGCUGAAGAAGGGAAACAAGAAGAUUUAUGCUGUAAGCAGAUAAGCUCCUUCCUGGAAGUCAAAAGCAAAAGUCCCUGGAUCUUAUCUGUGUUUCUGUGUGUGGGGUCCACAUGUGAACUCUCACAGAACGCUGCUCUUAAUCUGUGCCUCUAAAGUAGCCUUAGAGGUAAAUGUGUUUGUUUGUGGUUUGCGUGUCUCGAUGUUAAUCCUAGAAUGGACUGAAAAUCCAUCCAGGUUGGACCUCAUCAACUGAACUGCUGAAGGCACCAGACCUCCGUGACUCUGAGCAGGAUUAAAAUGAUCCGCAAACCCACAUCAAGGUUUGAACAAUGUUUAAUGACAAAGGCCCUGGUCACAUUGGUAUGGAUAGGUAAUAAAAAUCUACAGUUUCAUUGUCAGUUUUUAUGCAGGUUGUGGUUAAAAACAAAAUCAUUCCAACAUGAAGUUUUAGGAAUCUCUUGCUAAUUACUUGUGUCACUAGCGCACGGUUCAAUGGAUUACAAAAGCCAUAAUGCAACAAAAUAAACCUACCUACAAAGGAAGAAAUAAAACACUGAAGUUGUGCUCUACAAGUCUCUUGUUCAUGUAGUUAUCCCACCCAGUCUUUGACCUAUCUCCUGGGGGGCAUUGAGCUGCAGACACGGCUGUGCUCGGGAAACAUUUGCUGGUUUAGAGGUCAUAGCUUUUGGCAAUGUGCAACAAUGAAAGCAAAUAGUAUUUUCAUAGGACAUUUAGCAGCUCAGGAGGUAGAGUGGGUUGUCCAGUAAUCAGAAGGUUGCAGGUUCGGUGCCGGCACCCACCAGAGAAUGCUGCUGUUGCGUCCUUGGGCAAGACACUUAACCCGCCUUGCCUGCUAGUGGUGGUCGGAGGGUCCGCUGGGGCCUGUGUUCAUCUCUGUAAGUGCCCCCCAGGGAAGCUUUGGUUGCAUCAUAGUUCACCAUCACCAGCAUGUGAAUGGGUGAAUGACUGUUUGUGUUGUGAAGUGCCUUGGGGGGUUGCAGAACCGUAAGAAGGUGCUAUACAAAAACAGGCCAUUACCAUCUAGAAACAAACAAAAGGUUUUUUAUUUGUUUAGAACAUGGUAUUGAGUGUUAGAUUAUUUAGAGGUAGCCAUUAGGAGCUGGCCAAUCAUGAAACAUAAUUCACAGCUAUCGUUGCACCACUGGAAGACAUUUAUUGCUAAAAAAUGGCAAAAUACAUACUUAUUACAAUCUGGUGCUCACUGCGGAAGCUCAAAUUUCACGUUUUCGGUAAGAUCAUUGUUCUGCUGUGAAGACUGUGAUUUCUUGACAGGCUUCUGUUUGGAGAAAUAAUGUUUACAUCUCUAACCAAUGAGCUACACAGUGGUACCCACUCCUGGUGAGAGAGAGAGAGAGAGAGAGAGAGAGAGAGAGAGAGAGAG
ensembl:lncRNA